rnacentral:misc_RNA from 1 species
AAGUCGUAACAAGGUUUCCGUAGGUGAACCUGCGGAAGGAUCAUUAACACUCCAAAACAAACUCAUUACUCUUGGCAACAAGGGUAUAUGAAACCCUAUUCACAAGCGAACCCGAAGGGAAACACGUGAGAAGGCGAGACUUUCCGGUUUCAAUCUCUCACUGUUUUUCUCCUUCAACAUUUUCUUUUGUCCCUUUUUUUUCUUUUAAGCCCCACACAUUUUACUUUUAGACUGACUGAGACGCAAGUCUCGUUGUACUUCGAAAGAAGCGCAAUGAAAAUCGAUAAGAUUAACAAAAAAAACAACUCUUAGCAACGGAUAUCUUGGUUCUC